GGAGGGGCCUUGGCUCAGUAACUGGAGCUUCUGCUUUGCAUGCAGAAGGUCCCGGGUUCAAACCCUGACACCUCCA